AUGAGCUUGUGUGGUUGAGAUUGAUUCAAACCUUUUAACCCGUUUCCUUUCUAAUGACCCGCUAGAAACCCGCGUACGCUGGGAAACCAAAAGACGCCCUAAGCAAGCACGCUUGGAGCAGAAACCAAGCUGAAGAGAAAAAUCAAGAGACGCGAAGCAAGAGAAUCAAACAUCCAAGUUGAAGAGGAGGAUCCUCCAUCGCGAGAUUUCUGUGCGAAAUAGGUUUAUAAUGGAGUAAUCUUGUUCGUUUAUGUCAGUCUUGAAGUUGGACCAUCUACUGUACUUUGGAUUUAACAUCUUUGGUGGUGUUUGUUUUGCUGUCAUGGAACUUCUCAUUCAAGUGAUCAUGUUUGCAGUACUUUUAGGGUUGGAUAUAAACUUUUAUGUUUAGAUGAUAGUUCUUGGCGCCAACUUGUGCAAUUUAUUGAAGUUAAUAAUCAAUUUAAGGAGCACCUGCUCUCAAGCAAUUCUAUGUGAAAAGGCUAUUUGAAUACAAGGCCAACCUCUUUAUCUCAAAGCUUGUUCCAUUUGAUAUAUGACGGUUUAUACCAUUCAGUUUUAUUUUUCAUUAAUGUU